rnacentral:rRNA from 1 species
CCUACGGGGGGCUGCAGUGGGGAAUAUUGCACAAUGGGGGGGACCCUGAUGCAGCGACGCCGCGUGAGUGAAGACGUCUUUCUGUAUUUAAAGCUCUUUCAGCCGGGGAGAAAAUGCCGGUACCUGACUAGGAAGCCCCGGCUAACUACGUGCCAGCAACCGCGGGAAUAAGUAGGGGGCAGGCGUGAUCCGGAUUUACUGGGUGUAAAGGGGGCGUAGACGGUUUUGCAAGUCUGACGGGAAAGCUCAAGGCUCAACCAUGGGACUGCUUUUGAAACUGGAAAACUGGAGUGGAGGAGAGGUACGCGGAAUGCCUAGUGUAGCGGUGAAAGGCGUAGAUAUUAGGAGGAACACCAGUGGCGAAGGCGGCUUACUGGACUGUAACUGACGUUGAGGCUCGAAGGCGUGGGGAGCAAACAGGAUUAGAUACCCUUGUAGUC